CGGCCCUUCCCGAGGCGGGACUGAGGCUCGGGCCGCCCCUCCAACAUGGCGGCGGCCGAGCAGCAGCCGCCGGCGGCCGAUGGCGGCAAGGCGCUGAGCGCGCUGCUGGGCGGCAUCGCGCAGGCCGCCUACUACGGCAAGGCCGACAUCACGGAGGAGCUGCUGCGCGGGCAGCUCUACCCCGAGGCGGCGCCUGAGGAGUUCCGCGCCCUGCGCGCCAAGAUGGGCGGCCUGCUGCAGUCAAUUGCUUCAGCUGACAUGGAUUUGAAUCAGCUGGAAGCUUUUCUCACUGCCCAAACAAAAAAGCAAGGUGGCAUCACGUCAGAUCAAGCUGCGGUCAUUGCCAAAUUUUGGAAGAACCACCGAGUGAGAAUCCAUGAGAGCCUGGUAAAUCAAAGCCGCUGGGAUUACGUCUUGAAAAGCAUGAACUGGAGAGUGGAUUUGAAGUCGCAGUCAAGACAUGUUGAUCAGAUAAAUACUCCAGUUGCGUUAGUUGAAAUGGAACUGGGAAAAAAUGGUCAGAUAGCUCUGGCAUGAUGGAAACUUGGAAAUGAAGGCAAGGAAACAUCUCCCUAGUGUUUGAUGCCCUGCUACAUGGAGCUGAACAGAACACCGUGCCCAUAUGAGCAAAUUUACAAAGGCAUAUGUAAGACAAAGAAUCUGAAUUUCUCUGCCUGGAGUUUGAUGAGGCCAAGGUGAGCCAGAUGCUGAAGAAACUCUCAGAAAUAGAGGAAAGCAUGACUG